rnacentral:rRNA from 1 species
UACGAAGGGGGCUAGCGUUGCUCGGAAUCACUGGGCGUAAAGCGCACGUAGGCGGAUUGCUAAGUCAGGGGUGAAAUCCUGGAGCUCAACUCCAGAACUGCCUUUGAUACUGGCGAUCUCGAGUUCGGGAGAGGUGAGUGGAACUGCGAGUGUAGAGGUGAAAUUCGUAGAUAUUCGCAAGAACACCAGUGGCGAAGGCGGCUCACUGGCCCGAUACUGACGCUGAGGCACGAAAGCGUGGGGAUCAAACAGG